rnacentral:rRNA from 1 species
GCUAAUACCGCAUAAUGCCUACGGGCCAAAGGGGGGGAUCUUCGGACCUCUCGCGUCAAGAUUAGCCCAGGUGGGAUUAGCUAGUUGGUGAGGUAAUGGCUCACCAAGGCGACGAUCCCUAGCUGGUCUGAGAGGAUGAUCAGCCACACUGGAACUGAGACACGGUCCAGACUCCUACGGGAGGCAGCAGUGGGGAAUAUUGCACAAUGGGCGCAAGCCUGAUGCAGCCAUGCCGCGUGUGUGAAGAAGGCCUUCGGGUUGUAAAGCACUUUCAGUCGUGAGGAAGGUAGUUGCGUUAAUAGCUGCAUUAUUUGACGUUAGCGACAGAAGAAGCACCGGCUAACUCCGUGCCAGCAGCCGCGGUAAUACGGAGGGUGCGAGCGUUAAUCGGAAUUACUGGGCGUAAAGCGCAUGCAGGUGGUUUGUUAAGUCAGAUGUGAAAGCCCGGGGCUCAACCUCGGAAUAGCAUUUGAAACUGGCAGACUAGAGUACUGUAGAGGGGGGUAGAAUUUCAGGUGUAGCGGUGAAAUGCGUAGAGAUCUGAAGGAAUACCGGUGGCGAAGGCGGCCCCCUGGA